rnacentral:lncRNA from 1 species
AGCAAAAGGAUUAUCACAGAAGCAUCACAACAGGCGCAGACUUAAAUUCAAUUAAAAGUAGGCAGGAGGACAUAAUUUUGUUGUAUAGAAAUUAUGGAAUAGGGCCUAAUUUUAAAGAGUCUUCAAAGAUAAACAUAUCAGGAAAAAUAUAGCUCAUAAAAUAUGGGGAAAAAAAUCUGGGAAGAUGAGUAUUUGUUAAUGCUCUGUAGCUCCAUUGCCCUCAGUAUACAAGGAAUGUGCCCACAAUAGGGUUGGAUUUAAAAGUCUUCAAAGCUUUGGUCUCUUUUUCUUUCGUUUUCCUCUGAUACAGAAUGCGAAUAGUCUCCCGGCCUCCAACCCCCUCUACAUCCCCACCACCCCAUAAUAGAGACUUAAAGGGAAUUUAAAUUCGAGUUCUUGAGCUUCUGCUCAAUGGCUAGGUCUUUGAACAAGUUAAUAUCAGAGCCUUAGUUCUUCACCUAUAAAGUAGGUUUAAUACUUACCUUACAACAUUGAGGAUUAAAGAGCAUGAGAGGAUUACUUUAUGAAAGGUGAAGCUUAGAACAGAAUUUUUAGUUCCUUGCCAAUGCUAAAAAACAACAACAACAACACCUUUUUCAGAAAUUGCUUUAUUAGGCUUUUGUACAAAGGGAACAUCUUUACUUUCUUUAAAUUUGCACAUAUAUCUAUUGUGAAAUUUUAACCAAGCUGGAGGGGUCACUAGGGAGCAUUGAGUAUGAUACUAUUGCUGUAAAUCAUAGAAAGGCUGGCUCAGGAGGGUACUGACUUGCUUUGACUUUGCGGCAACUUCAGUUGUCCAGUGACAAGGCUUGCUGCAUACACACCACUUUGUUUGUUUCUCAUACCUUAAAUUGUGGAUUAAAAAUCUUUGGGGCAGGCCUGGAGGCUCAUGCCUAUAAUCCCAGCACUUUGGGAGGCCGAGAUGGGCAGAUCACUUGAGCCCAGGAGUUCAAGAUCAGCCUGGGCAACAUGGGAAAAACCUGUCUCAACAAAAAAAAUACAAAAAUUAGCCAGGUGUGUUGGUGCAUGCCUGUAGUCCCAGCUACUUAGAAGGCUGAGGUGGAAGGAUUGCUUAAGCCCCGGGAGGUGGAGGUUGCAGUGAGCCGUGAGCAUGCCACUGUACCUACCCCGUUUUGGGCAACAGAGUGAGACCCUGUCUC